ensembl:lncRNA
GAAUUAUUCCAUUUGCAUUAAUAUUUUUGUUAAGCGUCAUCACCAUUCAGUGCUUUCAUAUAGCAAGGUCUGUGUAUCAACAAAUACUCCUGAACCACGUGCACCAUCCUUUGCCCCCAUGAAGUACCUUGCCAGCUCUCCUGGCACUGCUCUCUGCCACAUUGUAAUUCUGCAGCUUGCCUCUCACACUGCUGAAGAGAUAGAAACAAAGUCGUGUGUACAGGAAUUUGAUCAUUUGAGCUGGUUUUAAGCUCAUUUCAAUUAACUUGGUAAACUAUCAGAGAUAAGCUGCGUGGAGUCACCUUCACUGAUAGCAGUGGGUGCGGGAUGCACGGAGCUCACAUUUAUCCCAAUAAACACCCCACGAUGGGAGGCUGAUCAUGCACGCUCUGUCAUUAUCUUUAGCACUUUAUAGAUAUAUUUGGCUUGGUGGCAGAAGCGUUCCCGUGGCUGUUGUAAGCGAGGCAUCACCUGUGUAACAGCCUUUCCAGCACUUCCCAGAUUCAGGGUGCGAGGUGUGAGCACGACGGGUGGUGGGAGGCCCCGGAGCUUUGCAGGAGCUAUCAGAGGCCCAGCAGGGCUGGGGAGCGUUGUGUUCCCCGUUUGCAGGUGGCACCAUUCAAGUUAAAGCAGUGCAGACAAGCUUAGGAGGUCAGGAGGAGGAGCUGCUGCCUGAGCCAUCCAAGUCCUUCUGCUUAUGAAACUGAAAGGAAAAUGCCUGGAGGAAGAAAUUGGGCAAGUCUCAAGGGAUUGUGUUACUGAAGGAGAAAGACCUAAAAUGAUGAUGCUGCUGUUUAACGAUGUCACGUUGUUCUGCUCCAUCACUAAAAACCAAGCAGCUACCUUUCAUGGGUACAGAUGUGUGGGAUUUGUACCAAUUUUCAAAGUAGAUCUUGGGAAUGACAGUUUGCAGUGGCUUUGGUCUUUGAAAGCAGGUCCUGAAGAAAUAAUUCUGACCCCUUCCAGCUGGGACCAGCCGUGGUCCCACAGGAGCAGCCAGCAAAAGGCAUUUGUAGAUGUGAGACUAAGCAGUGUGCAUGGUGGCACCCGGCUGGAGCGCCCUCUGCAAAUGCAUGUGAAUCAUGUCCAUCACAAAUGAGCCUCAAAGAACUCACGCUCAAAAAAUCAGAAGGCCCCAGUGUGCUGUGCUGCUUUCUUUUUCCACAACUCUUUUAACCUUUGUAAAGUUCUUGCUCAUGCUGUGAAACUUCUUCGGACUAGAGAGAAGAGCAUCAUGGAAACAAAACCUGAUUACUUACUUCCUUCUGCAAACCCAAGCAUCUUCUGCGGGUACAAGGUGUGCUGGUGGGGUCUCGGUCCAUGGGAGAUGAAUUUGCAUCGUUCAUCUGUGCUACCCCAUGAAAAAAAGAACCCACGGCCCUGGAAUAUUUUAUCUCUUUCUGCAGGACCCUGACAGAUCUCUCCCCUGGGACCGUAAAUUCUUUCCUGACUGUCACUGCUGCUCCUGAACUCCAGCGUGGCACAUUGGAAGAGUGAGCUUUGUUCCUCCACAGCACAGAGGGCAUGCCACAGAUAAUUUAAGGGCCCAUUUUUCUUUUUAGAUGACAUUAAAUAUUCUUUACUUAAAAAAAAAAGUCAUCCACACCACUUGGCAUGAAGCAAUAUAUUCAGGAGAAGGGCAGAUGUUGUUUAAUGAAAGAGCGCUCUUGCCUCUGCUGUGUGUCCAUUUCUUGAAUCCUCAUGGCAAGGAGCAAUCUCAGCCUUGGGCCAAAGGUUUAAGGACUUGCUUUGCCCCUGCAGUAGGGGAAAGGAAAUUCUGACUGGGUCAAUGUCUGGACUUUCAUGCUUUGCCCAGCCAUCGUCCUGUCUUCCGUGUAUUUGCAUCCCAGCUGGGAAUGCUGAAGGCUGAGCUGCAGCCCAUGGAAGGAUGCAUCCUUUGGGGUUUUCUUUGUUCUCUGGAAGGGAUGGUGAGCCUGGAAUGAGGCUUCUGGCAGCCCCUGGGAGCUCAAGGCUGUGGGAGAAGUCAUCCUGCUUUUACAGCGAAUGGAUUUGACCAAGAAAGCAGUGAAAGAGAAAACACAGAGCUCCUCUGCUGGCGUGUUGCAUUGGGUCUCCUUUCAGUGAGGAAGCAUACAGCAAACUGUCUGCAAAUAGCUAUUGCAGCAGUGAAAAAAGGAAUGUGGAAAGGGGGGGGAAUCUGAUUUCUGACCCACGUUCUCACCUCUGAUUUGAGGGGAAUGGUGGGAGUUCACACCUCAUAUUUCUUCCUUUAGCUUUCCCAGCUACAGAACCGAAAUUAGAAAAAAAUAAUAUAUAAGGAAAUGGCAACCAGAAAAUGUUAUGGAAAGGAAAGGAGUGAUUCAGGACUGGAGUAACACCAAUCAAAUUGCUUUUCAAAGACCCUAAAAAUAUUCUCAUGAUUCAAGCAACUAAAACUGAGGGACACCUUGGACGCAAAGAAGCAAGUUAUUUUCCAGUCCUUGCACUCUCAUACCCCAAGCAAACCUUCUCAAAAAUCAGUUCCUAUGACCUUUCCGUUCCUUUAGUGGAAAGUUUGCCGCCUGGUUAUCUCUUUCCUUCUUUGAGCUGCCAAAGGCACCUUGACGUGCAUCUAAAACUUCCCCCCUGUGCGAAGGUGUGUGCCUCUCACUGUAUGAGUAGAGAUUAUGGAAACAGGACUGCUCAGAGUGGAGAAAUCUUGUGAUUUCUAGCUAAAAUAGGCUAUGUUUGCUCACAGAUUUAACUACAAUGUCGAGUCCUUUCAUUUUUUAUCCCCUUAAUGUUAUAUUCUGGGGUUUUUUAAUGUUUUUGCAUAAGGCAUUGUUUAUAAUUUGCCGGCAAUUCGUGUUGGGUGUCUGCACUCCUGCAUUCGUGGUGCAGGCGGGGCGGAGAUGACCUGCAGAUCCCAGUCGUGUUUGGCAGCUCCUCGUUCCUUGUAACAGUUUGACCUCGAGCAGCCAGGAUUUUAAAGCAGCAGAAAAAGAAUUUCAUAAAUAGCGUGAACUCGGUCAACGCAAAAUUAAAUGCGCCUCUGCAACGCAAACACUGAAGCGCGCCCACGAAUUUAACUCUGACUGUUCCAAAGAGGUGUUCGUGGCAGCUGCUAUUAGGGCGAGGACCUAGCAUUGUCAGCGUGCUGCUUUCCUCUUUUCCACUUCCAUAUGAAUUUUCAUGAAUGACGUUGCCUGUGUUUGUGUGUUGUUGUACUUACGCCGCAGUGUUUGAUCUGUGUGUAUUACGCAUCUGCCUCGUGUAGCUCCAUCUAUACCAUGUUAAUUAUAUUGCUCUGGUGACAUAAUAAACACUAAGCGAGUUGUGAAUAGAUUAUUUAU